CCUUUUCUCCACCCCCCCUCCAGCACUUGUUAUUUGUGGAUUUAUUAAUGAUGGCCAUUCUGACUGGUGUGAGGUGGUAUCUCAUGGUAGUUUUGAUUUGCAUUUCUCUUAUAAUCAGCGAUGUUGAGCAUUUUUUCAAGAUAAUAUCAUUUCUUAGGUAAUGUUACAAAGUCACUACUGAUAUAACAAAGUCUUAUCAGUUCUGUAGAUCAACUCAGUUUAUUAUAAAACAAUAUGCAAUAUUGUACUCAUACAGUAGUAAAUGUAUAUAUUUAAUGUAUACAUACAUUUACUAUUGUAUGAGUUUAAGCUCCAUAGGGGAGGCAUUUUUGUUAGCUUUGCACACUGAAGUAUAGCAAGCCUGUAGAAAAGUGUCUGGUAUAUAGUAGGUGCUCAAUAAAUACUUGUUAAUAAUAAUGCAACUGUAUUAACCCUCUAAGCAGUCAAAAUCCACAUAUAACUACACUUGGCUCUCUGAAUCCAUGUUUGCACAUCCGCAGAUUCAACCAACUUCAGAUCAUGUCUUCAUGGUAUAUACAGUAUAAAUAUAUACUAUGGUAUAUAUUUAGUGAAAAAAAAAAUCCACAUGUAAGUAGACCCACACAGUUUAAACCUAUGUUGUUCAAGGGAGCACUGUAAUUGAAUAGUGUGUGUCAGAAAUACAGAGGCGUCUAAAAGACAGUAUCAUCCUUUCUCUAUCCAUUCUUCCAAGUUGAUGAGCAUCUUAUCCCUACACCGAAGCUGAUGAUAAUGCCAGAUCCUUUAACCCACUGUGCCAGGUAGGGAUCGAACCUGUGUCCUGGUGCUGCAGAGACACGGCUGCUCACAUUUCACCACAGCAGGAACUCCAAAGAGCAUCUUUAUGCCCAUCACUUUGAACGCUCAGUCAGCACCUAGAUCAGCACCUGAUUGGCAGCCAGCUACUCAGGCAACAGCUUUCAAAGUGGAAAAUAUAUACAGUCCUGUGGGACCAGCAGCGUAAGCCCUGUUGGCCACCAGGCCAGGCGAUUUGGAGGUGUCCCUCCGGGGUGACAAUCACAAGAAUCAGUAUCUAGAGGAGAUGGUUACCUCCUUUCUGGGAGAUUCCAGUGACCUAUACUGAGUCAGACGGAGAGCGAAAAAGUGGUGUCCCCCCCAAACUACAGUCCCUGAGAGCCACUCCAUAGCCUCCAGGUAUGUACCGCCCUAAAACCCACCUUUCAGGCAGAAACUCUAGGACAAGUACUCAGGCCACUUUCACAGAGGGGCCGGGUGUGUUUCAGUCUGCUCUCUGUGUGGUGCCCUGGGCCGGUAGCUGUCAAGACCUGUCUGUCCUAGUGCUCUAGUCCUAGGGGACCCAGAAAGGAAAGCCCUCCUGGGCACUCGAGUCAGGUGUUUCAGGGAUGUCCCCUGGGUGUCAGCUGCAAAAACCAGGACACUAGAUGUAAAAACUGGGACACUUAAAACCCAGACAUGAAAACUGGGCACCAGCUGUGUAUAAAGCUCCCCUCUGGGAGACACUGGUGCUGAGGACUGUGGCAGAGGGAGCAGGCAAGGAAGACACCCUCUAAGGACCAAGAAAGAAAAAUGGCAGCUGCUGGCUUUAGCGAGGCAGAGGGAGCGUGCUGGAAGGGUGCCCACCGGUGCCUCCAUCCAGAAUCUGUCAGACCCCAACCCCUCAGGCCCAUGCCUUAAGCUUUGCAAAUGAGUUCUUUGGCAGAAAAUCUGGAUGCUUUUCCAACAGCCGCUUCUGUGCUGGCCCCUGGCCACUGAGUCCGUGCCCUUGCAGGGGGGUGCUGCUCAGUUUGCUGCAGCCUUUGGGUCUUUCUCGUGGGUGUGGCCCUGCUGGUUUUCGAAGUCAGACGUUUUGGAGGUUCAUCUCUCAGCGGUUGGUCUUAAAUGCUGGAGUGCUGAUGUGGGGUAUGAACCUCUCUGUCCUCAGGGGGAGGCCCCAGGUUUGUGUGUUCCCUCUGAUUGGGGGUCACGGCCUUGGGGAGGCAUCGUGGCUUAGCGUGUCCUGCCUGCCUCCAUGUGGCUCUUUCCUUGUUUGUAGAGAAGAAGGAGCUGCACAGCUAGUUUUCAGGUCUUUUUCGGAGGAAAUUGUUCCGUACGUAGCUGUAGGUUCAGGCUGUCAGGGGAGGAGCUGAAUUCAGGAUCUUCCUCCGUCUCUACCUUGGAUGACCUCCCCCGACACACUUGCUCCAAUCAGGAAAUUCUC
rnacentral:lncRNA from 1 species